CGGGGUAUAGCGCAGUUGGUAGCGUUCCUGGUUUGGGACCAGGCGGUCGCGUGUUCGAGUCACGCUGCCCCGA
rfam:Bacteroides sp. 43_108 Ley3_66761_scaffold_422, whole genome shotgun sequence.